rnacentral:rRNA from 1 species
UACGAAGGGGGCUAGCGUUGUUCGGAAUUACUGGGCGUAAAGCGCGCGCAGGCGGUCUUCCAAGUCAGUGGUGAAAGCCCGGGGCUCAACCUCGGAACUGCCUUCAAUACUGGCUAUCUUGAGUACGGGAGAGGUGUGUGGAACUCCGAGUGUAGAGGUGAAAUUCGUAGAUAUUCGGAAGAACACCAGUGGCGAAGGCGACACACUGGCCCGUUACUGACGCUGAGGCGCGAAAGCGUGGGGAGCAAACAGGG